rnacentral:rRNA from 1 species
CCUGCCGGCAAUCAUAUGCUAGUUUUAAAGAUUAAGCCAUGCAUGUUUAAAUUUAAGAUUUUAUCUGAAAUUGCGGACGGCUCAUUAAAUCGGAGAAAAGAUAACCAAAAGAGGUAACCAAAUAUGGAUAUCUCGGGUAAUUCUAGAGUUAAUACAUGUCCUCUUCGGGGGAUGCUGGGGGGUGAAAAAACUGGUCUCGGGAGCAAUCCUGUGGCAAUGAAGUGAACUAACCCCCUAGCGUACCGGUCUCUGACCGGGUUUUUGGUUUCUUUUCUGAUCUAUCACUUUUUUAUCGAUGUAGUGUAUCGAUAAGAGGAUAACGGGUGACGGGGAACAAGGGUUUGGUUCCGGAGAGGGUGCCUGAGAGAUGGCAACCACUUCCAAGGAAGGCAGCAGGCGCGCAAAUUACCCAAUCUCAACGAGAGGAGGUAGUGACAAAACAUAACGAUGGGGUCCUUAUUAGGAUCCUAAUUGGAAUGAGUACAAUUUAAAGCGUUUAGCGAGUAACGAUUAGAGGGAAAGUCUGGUGCCAGCAGCCGCGGUAAUUCCAGCUCUAAUAGCGUAUAUUAAAGUUGUUGCAGUUAAAAAGCUCGUAGCCAGAGUAAUCUGGAUGCCUUCUUAGAGGAAAUUUUCUGAUUUGAGGGUGUCUGGAUGAAUCGUGAUACCCGCCGUGCACUUAAUUGGGUAUGGUAUGGGGACUCACUUAAUUUUACCUUGAAAAAAUACAGCCGUUCCAAAGAGGCAUUUAUGCCAAUAGACCAAAGCAAGGUAUAAUAGAAUAUGGUGCCUACUCUUUUUGACCGGGGGGGUAGGUGCAAUGAUUAAUAGGGGUAAUCGGGGGUGUUCAUAUAAGAGGGGGAGAGGUGAAAUUCUUGGAUCCUUCUUAGAUGUCCUAGUGCGAAGGCAUUCACCAAGGGUGCCUUCAUUAGUCAAGAACGAAAGUUAGGGGAUCGAAGACGAUCAGAUACCGUCGUAGUCCUAUCUAUAAACGAUGCCGACCAGGGAUUAGGGGACGUUUAAUUAUGACUCCCUCAGCACCUAGUAAGAAAUUAGAGUCUUUGGGUUCCGGGGGGAGUAUGGUCGCAAGGCUGAAACUUAAAGGAAUUGACGGAAGGGCACCACCAGGAGUGGAGCCUGCGGC